rnacentral:rRNA from 1 species
UACGAAGGGGGCUAGCGUUGCUCGGAAUCACUGGGCGUAAAGGGUGCGUAGGCGGGUCUUUAAGUCAGUGGUGAAAUGCUCCAGCUUAACUGGAGAGGUGCCAAUGAUACUGGCAGGCUUGAAUCCGGGAGAGGGAUGCGGAAUUCCAGGUGUAGCGGUGAAAUGCGUAGAUAUCUGGAGGAACACCGGUGGCGAAGGCGCAUCCUGGACCGGCAUUGACGCUGAGGCGCGAAAGCCAGGGGAGCAAACGGG